AUUUUUUCUUUCCCUGAGUCUUGAGUAUAGUAGAGAGCCUUAAGCUGCCCAAAUAAAAGGUAAAAAAGGAAAAUAAGAAACAUGUUUCUGACUUUGUGUUGGAAGUUGAGAUAUUUUUCUGUAGCAAAUUUCCUGAUGUGAAGUGUUGUGUUCUGUUAAAAAGGGGUGAUUCUCCACAUUUGUAGGCUUAAAUUUAGGAAGUUUGCCUUGUAUUUAGUGUGGAUUUAUUGACUUGAAGAAGGCUUCCCUUCGCCCAUAAAAAGGAGAGUGUGGUGCAGUGGAGGGCAAGGA
rnacentral:misc_RNA from 1 species